CACGUAGUUAGCCGGUGCUUAUUCUUACGGUACCGUCAUGGCUCCAGGGUAUUAACCCGAAGCUUUUCGUUCCGUACAAAAGCAGUUUACAACCCGAAGGCCUUCAUCCUGCACGCGGCAUUGCUGGAUCAGGCUUUCGCCCAUUGUCCAAAAUUCCCCACUGCUGCCUCCCGUAGGAGUCUGAACCGUGUCUCAGUUCCAGUGUGGCUGAUCGUCCUCUCAGACCAGCUACAGAUCGUCGGCUUGGUAAGCUUUUAUCCCACCAACUACCUAAUCUGCCAUCAGCCGCUCUAGUAGCACAAGGUCUUGCGAUCCCCUGCUUUCAUCCGUAGAUCUCAUGCGGUAUUAGCUACUCUUUCGAGUAGUUAUCCCCCAUACUAGGCACGUUCCGAUGUAUUACUCACCCGUUCGCCACUCGUCAGCAUCCGAAGUACCCUGUUACCGUUCGACUUGCAUGUAGUAAGGCAUGCCGCCAGCGUUCAAUCUGAGCCAGGUA
rnacentral:rRNA from 1 species